rnacentral:rRNA from 1 species
ACCUAAGACUAAGCCCAAACAUCUCCUCAAAACCUCCCCCAACUAAAACAAACCAUUUGCCAAAACAAGUAGAGGCGAUCAAACGUUAACUAAUCUGGCGCUAUAGACAACAGUACCGCAAGGGAAAUGUGAAAAAACAAUGAAAACACAAGUACAACACAGCAGAGACUAGCACUCGUACCUCUUGCAUCAUGGUCCAGCAAGAAACAUACAGGCACGCAGCCACACAGCCUGUAUCCCCGAAACCAAGUGAGCUACCAUCAGGCAGCCCAUAGAGCCAACCCGUCCCUGUAGCAAAAGGGUGGGAAGACCUAAUGGUAGCGGUGAAAAGCCUACCGAACUUGCUGAUAGCUGGUUGCCUGAUAAAUAAACCUAAGUUUAACUUUAGGCUCCGCCCAAACAACAAAUUACAACCUAGAGCCUAAAAGCUAUUCAAUUGGGGUACAGCCCUAUUGAAACAGGAAACAACCUGAAGUAGAGAAGAAAGCCACAACCACCCAACCGUAGGCCCUAAAGCAGCCACCAAUAAACAUCGCGUCACAGCAAACCAACCAAAAAUCCCAACAUCAUACCUAACUUCCUACUCCCCCACCAGGCCAUUCUAUAAAAAUAUAGAAGAAAUCAUGCUAGAACUAGUAACAAGAAACGCUUCUCUCAGCACAACUGUAAAACAGCAAUGGAAAAACCACUGAAAAUUAACAGAGCACAAAUUAACCCCUAUCCCCACCAUAAUAUCCCACAAACUGUUAACCCGACACAGGAGUGCCAAAAAGAAAGAUUAAAAGCCUAAGAAGGAACUCGGCAAGUACUAAUCCCAACUGUUUACCAAAAACAUAGCCUUUAGCCCACACAAGUAUUAAAGGUAACGCCUGCCCAGUGAAACAUUAAACGGCCGCGGUAUCCUAACCGUGCAAAGGUAGCGCAAUCACUUGUCUCCUAAAUAGAGACCAGUAUGAAUGGCUAAAUGAGGAUUAACCUGUCUCCUUAGACCAAUCAGUGAAACUGAUCCGCCAGUACAAAAGCUGGCAUAACCCCAUAAGACGAGAAGACCCUGUGGAGCUUUAGACUAACCAGCCAAACCGGGCCCCACCACCCCCCCCAAUGGCUGAGCAUCUUAAGUUGGGGCGACUUCGGAGCAAAACAAAACCUCCGAGCAAUAGAACAUCAAUCUCCCCGAGGCAGACACGCCAAAGCAAAAAUUGACCCAGUACUACUGACCAUCGAACCAAGUUACCCCAGGGAUAACAGCGCAAUCUUCUUCAAGAGUCCAUAUCGACAAGAAGGUUUACGACCUCGAUGUUGGAUCAGGACACCCAAAUGGUGCAGCCGCUAUUAAUGGUUCGUUUGUUCAACGAUUAACAGUCCUACGUGAUCUGAGUUCAGACCGGAGCAAUCCAGGUCGGUUUCUAUCUAUGACGUCGCUUUCUUCAGUACGAAAGGACCAAGAAAGCAGGACCCAUGCCACAGGUACGUCCUACUUCAUCCGGCUGAAUACCACUCAAGCCUCAAAAAACAAGACCCCCCCCCCCGAAGACACCGGGCU